UCAAAGUCAGACACUCGACCAUUGGAAGAU
rnacentral:piRNA from 1 species